GGGGCUGACUGGAAUUGACAGGAAGCUUUGUGGAUAUACUCGCAUGUCGAGCAUGGUGUAUUGGCUCGUUAAUCUCAGUACAUGACUUUUCUUUUUUACAUGGCGAGACUAACUACGCCAUGGCCGCCUAAGACAAGGUCUAGGUAGCCAUAGUUCCCCAGGGGUGUUGUCUGAUGCACGUCUGGUGUGAACUUCGAUCUCAUCGGACUGUCUGGUAGCGCGUUGACCGCUAUCAGCGAGGAAGACCGUCAACUACGGUCGCGGUAGGCGGGCUCACCUGGCCAGCCGCUGACCCGACAAGCAACAGGUGGCUACACAUGUAGACGGUGUAUCGACAACUUGACUGGACCCGGGUUCGAAUCCCGGCAGCUCCACU
rnacentral:tmRNA from 1 species